AUUGAACGCUGGCGGCAGGCCUAACACAUGCAAGUCGAGCGGAUGACGGGAGCUUGCUCCUUGAUUCAGCGGCGGACGGGUGAGUAAUGCCUAGGAAUCUACCUGGUAGUGGGGGACAACGUUUCGAAAGGAACGCUGAUACCGCAUACGUCCUACGGGAGAAAGCAGGGGACCUUCGGGCCUUGCGCUAUCAGAUGAGCCUAGGUCGGAUUAGCUAGUUGGUGGGGUAAUGGCUCACCAAGGCGACGAUCCGUAACUGGUCUGAGAGGAUGAUCAGUCACACUGGAACUGAGACACGGUCCAGACUCCUACGGGAGGCAGCAGUGGGGAAUAUUGGACAAUGGGCGAAAGCCUGAUCCAGCCAUGCCGCGUGUGUGAAGAAGGUCUUCGGAUUGUAAAGCACUUUAAGUUGGGAGGAAGGGCAGUAAGCUAAUACCUUGCUGUUUUGACGUUACCGACAGAAUAAGCACCGGCUAACUCUGUGCCAGCCGCCGCCGUAACAC
rnacentral:rRNA from 1 species